rnacentral:rRNA from 1 species
UACGGGGGGGGCAAGCGUUGUUCGGAAUUACUGGGCGUAAAGGGCUCGUAGGUGGCCAACUAAGUCAGACGUGAAAUCCCUCGGCUUAACCGGGGAACUGCGUCUGAUACUGGAUGGCUUGAGUUUGGGAGAGGGACGCGGAAUUCCAGGUGUAGAGGUGAAAUGCGCAGAUAUCAGGAGGAACACCGGUGGCGAAGGCGGUGGUCUGGGCCGACACUGACGCUGAGGAGCGAAAGCGUGGGUAGCAAACAGG